ACUGCUCAGUAACACGUAGUCAACCUAACCUAUGGACGGGAAUAACCUCGGGAAACUGAGAAUGAUGCCCGAUAGAACACUAUACCUGGAAUGGUUUGUGUUCCAAAUGAUUUAUCGCCAUAGGAUGGGACUGCGGCCUAUCAGUUUGUUGGUGAGGUAAUGGCCCACCAAGACUAUUACAGGUACGGGCUCUGAGAGGAGUAGCCCGGAGAUGGGUACUGAGACACGGACCCAGGCCCUAUGGGGCGCAGCAGGCGAGAAAACUUUGCAAUGUGCGAAAGCACGACAAGGUUAAUCCGAGUGAUUUGUGCUAAACGAAUCUUUUGUUAGUCCUAGAAACACUAACGAAUAAGGGGUGGGCAAGUUCUGGUGUCAGCCGCCGCGGUAAAACCAGCACCUCAAGUGGUCAGGAUGAUUAUUGGGCCUAAAGCAUCCGUAGCCGGCUCUGUAAGUUUUCGGUUAAAUCUGUACGCUUAACGUACAGGCUGCCGGGAAUACUGCAAAGCUAGGGAGUGGGAGAGGUAGACGGUACUCGGUAGGAAGUGGUAAAAUGCUUUGAUCUAUCGAUGACCACCUGUGGCGAAGGCGGUCUACCAGAACACGUCCGACGGUGAGGGAUGAAAGCUGGGGGAGCAAACCGGAUUAGAUACCCGGGUAGUCCCAGCUGUAAACUAUGCAAACUCAGUGAUGCAUUGGCUUGUGGCCAAUGCAGUGCUGCAGGGAAGCCGUUAAGUUUGCCGCCUGGGAAGUACGUACGCAAGUAUGAAACUUAAAGGAAUUGGCGGGGGAGCACCACAAGGGGUGAAGCCUGCGGUUCAAUUGGACUCAACGCCGGU
rnacentral:rRNA from 1 species